CCAACAGGGUGAAGUGACUUGCCCAGGGUCACACAGCUACAUAUGUCAAUAUUUCCAUUAAUGAGUGAUGUGAUUGACUCUGACAUCGAUGGAGACCACAGCCCAUCCAUACCUUCUCACCCUUGGGAUUUUGGUUCAAGCUGUCCCACAGAUCUCCCAGAGAGGUUCCAUACAAAGUCCUGAAAGGGUACCAGUACAGUGAUUGGGUUUCCAUCUGUUCCUUGGACCUUCCUCUUGUCAGAUGAUCGGUCCACCUCCUUUUCCCAUCAUACAUUACUUUGAUUGUGUCUUUAAACCUCCUCUUGCAUAUAAGUCAUCAUUGAUCGUCUGUUGCAAGAUACCUGCCACUCAUCUCUUCCGUGACCUUUGGGUCACUUGUAAUUGUGAUUCUGUAGAGAUCAUGCUAGUCUGCUCUUUGUGGGCAUGUAGAAGCAGUAGCCAAAUAGCCAAAUCCUGGCUUUAAACAGACAUGUUUUUAUGUCAAGGAAGUGCUCAGUGUCAUUGAAAAAAAAUGCAAAAAUUUUCUCAAACACAAUCCAUUUCAUACCUUCAACUGUUUUUAAUUCUAGGUCCAGUUCACCAUUCAGCUGUU